rnacentral:tRNA from 1 species
UAGUGCAAUGGUAAGCACGGCAGACUGGAUAUCUGUAAGUGCGGGUACGAGUCCCGA